rnacentral:sRNA from 1 species
UAACCAUUCUUGACAGUUUACUGGCUUAAGUUAAUCCUUAUAUUAUUCUCGCCUUUUGAGCUGCUCAGUGCAUAACCAGUGCGGUCAACCCUCAAACAGGGUUAUUUUUAAGCUGCAUAGAACGUUCAGAUGCUAUUGAUGAUUGUGCCAGAGCAGCGCGGCACCACGAUGGUCAGAGCGGACGUCCUUGAGCUUGAAACAAUUUUCUCCCGGAGGUCGAAAUGAGUGCAAAGGCGUCGAUAUCCAUACUGUGUAUAAGAAUCUUAAAGCUAUCACACGUGGAAUAUACACAGCGCCAAAACCUAAGCAUUUGCCCAGGUUAGUAUUCCGAGCGAAUCGCGUUAUAAGUUUUCCCCCCGUUGAACCAGCGAAUCCAGGUAGGGCCAAAGGCGAAAUUUGGCCCUGCGGGAUCGGUGGUAAGUUUACCGGUGUGACAGAUGGUUUUUGGAGUUAUCAGGCUUGGAGCUCGAUCCUCCGUAUUCGAUGCGCCAAUAAGGUACACUGGACUGGACAGGAUCUGGAAAUGCUUCAUGAGAAUGAUCACUUAAAAAGGG